rnacentral:rRNA from 1 species
UUUUUCACUUGCCCUAUUGCUAGGGUGGUGUGGCGCUGUGUGGGGAUAGUUCUGGGCAUAGAUAGAUGUCCCAGCAACCAAUGGCAAUAUUAUGCUUGGUGCUACUCUUUUCUCCCUGCUGGAACAAAGUUCUAUAUUGUUGGUCUUACUGUGGCUUGUUGGUCCAUUUGGCUGGCCCGAAACCGAGCUACAUUUGAAAAGAAGCAAAUCAAAACUCCAUUUGAGAUUGUUUUUUCUAUAUGCUCGUUUCUCUUAUAUUGGACAGGGCUACAGCAAGAAGAAGAUGGCAAGGAGCUUCGCGCGGGGGCUGAGAUGCUCAGGUCAAACACGAUGCAGAUGAUGAAGAUGUGCGCAGCAAUCAGGCGUCCGAUUGCAGGAGAAUAG